rnacentral:rRNA from 1 species
CCUACGGGCGGCAGCAGUGAGGAAUAUUGGUCAAUGGCCGGAAGGCUGAACCAGCCAAGUCGCGUGAGGGACGACUGCCCUAUGGGUUGUAAACCUCUUUUAUAAGGGAAGAAUAAAUGCUACGUAUAGCAUGUUGCAUGUACCUUAUGAAUAAGCAUCGGCUAACUCCGUGCCAGCAGCCGCGGUAAUACGGAGGAUGCGAGCGUUAUCCGGAUUUAUUGGGUUUAAAGGGGGCGUAGGCGGGUUGUUAAGUUAGUUGUUAAAGGUUGGGGCUCCACCCUAAAAUUGCAUUUAAAACUGGCAGCCUUGAGUACAGACGAGGUAGGCGGAAUAAGUGAAGUAGCGGUGAAAUGCUUAGAUAUAACGUAGAACUCCGAUAGCGAAGGCAGCUUACCAGACUGCGACUGACGCUGAAGCACGAGAGUGUGGGUAGCGAACAGGAUUAGAUACCCGUGUAGUC